GGCUUGUGAUCUUUACAUAAAACUCAAACUAAUAAAGGUACAACAGAAUUUAUUAAAGGGGGUGGCAAGAACUCCCAGGAUAAACAAGGUAAACAGAUAACGAUCAGGCAAAUUACAAAAUAAGGCAGGUUGUACCAAUAAGGGAACUGUGAAUACAACCAAGUGAUGGUUACAGUACCAUUCCUGGCAGCUUGACUCACUGGUGUCUUCUCCUUAGGGUAGCACAGCACAGCAGGACUGCUGAAUCCCUCAGAUGGAACCAGGGAACCCGGUACAGGAUCAGAUGAGUGCUUCUUCAGACUGACUCCAUGUUG